rnacentral:rRNA from 1 species
GAUGAACGCUGGCGGCGUGCCUAAUACAUGCAAGUCGAGCGAACAGACAAGGAGCUUGCUCCUUUGACGUUAGCGGCGGACGGGUGAGUAACACGUGGGUAACCUACCUAUAAGACUGGGAUAACUUCGGGAAACCGGAGCUAAUACCGGAUAAUAUUUCGAACCGCAUGGUUCGAUAGUGAAAGAUGGUUUUGCUAUCACUUAUAGAUGGAUCCGCGCCGUAUUAGCUAGUUGGUAAGGUAACGGCUUACCAAGGCGACGAUACGCAGCCGACCUGAGAGGGUGAUCGGCCACACUGGAACUGAGACACGGUCCAGACUCCUACGGGAGGCAGCAGUAGGGAAUCUUCCGCAAUGGGCGAAAGCCUGACGGAGCAACGCCGCGUGAGUGAUGAAGGUCUUCGGAUCGUAAAACUCUGUUAUUAGGGAAGAACAUACAUGUAAGUAACUAUGCACGUCUUGACGGUACCUAAUCAGAAAGCCACGGCUAACUACGUGCCAGCAGCCGCGGUAAUACGUAGGUGGCAAGCGUUAUCCGGAAUUAUUGGGCGUAAAGCGCGCGUAGGCGGUUUUUUAAGUCUGAUGUGAAAGCCCACAGCUCAACCGUGGAGGGUCAUUGGAAACUGGAAAACUUGAGUGCAGAAGAGGAAAGUGGAAUUCCAUGUGUAGCGGUGAAAUGCGCAGAGAUAUGGAGGAACACCAGUGGCGAAGGCGACUUUCUGGUCUGUAACUGACACUGAUGUGCGAAAGCGUGGGGAUCAAACAGGAUUAGAUACCCUGGUAGUCCACGCCGUAAACGAUGAGUGCUAAGUGUUAGGGGGUUUCCGCCCCUUAGUGCUGCAGCUAACGCAUUAAGCACUCCGCCUGGGGAGUACGACCGCAAGGUUGAAACUCAAAGGAAUUGACGGGGACCCGCACAAGCGGUGGAGCAUGUGGUUUAAUUCGAAGCAACGCGAAGAACCUUACCAAAUCUUGACAUCCUUUGACAACUCUAGAGAUAGAGCCUUCCCCUUCGGGGGACAAAGUGACAGGUGGUGCAUGGUUGUCGUCAGCUCGUGUCGUGAGAUGUUGGGUUAAGUCCCGCAACGAGCGCAACCCUUAAGCUUAGUUGCCAUCAUUAAGUUGGGCACUCUAAGUUGACUGCCGGUGACAAACCGGAGGAAGGUGGGGAUGACGUCAAAUCAUCAUGCCCCUUAUGAUUUGGGCUACACACGUGCUACAAUGGACAAUACAAAGGGCAGCGAAGCCGCGAGGUCAAGCAAAUCCCAUAAAGUUGUUCUCAGUUCGGAUUGUAGUCUGCAACUCGACUACAUGAAGCUGGAAUCGCUAGUAAUCGUAGAUCAGCAUGCUACGGUGAAUACGUUCCCGGGUCU